AAGAUAUGGAGGAUGUAAGUCAGGAUUCUAAUGCUCCGCAGGUCCUAGCUGUUCAGAUGAUUCAAAGCGGUCAGUUUUCUAAUAGUCAGCCAAGGGAACAGUUCACUGCCGAUGAUCAUAAUCUUCAGUGUCAUACACAGUUUUCAACUACUGGUGUGAGUGAAUUAUACUGACAUAUUUAUUUUACCUGCAUUUAUAUUUUAAAUAAGGUCCACAUUAUCUGUGAUUCCACAGGUGUCUUAUCUUGUUGCGUAGUUACGUGCCCUCACAGAAAGCAGUUAUUAAUUGUAUUGAUAUUAAAAUAGAUAAUAUUCUUCUUAUGUAUUUAAGGAUUUUUUUUUUAUUUUAUUUAUGUGGACAUUAGGACUUCAGUACAGCAGGUGCUGAAAGUCANUUGUCCAAUCUCUCGUGUCUCACAUAGAUGGGAGGUCAUCCUGACCUCUUUGACAUGGCCCUGUGACGUGGGAAGGAAAUAGACUCAGCCCUGUAAAGGCUUACUGUUACGCAUUCCACUCUUGCAUCAAACCAAGUGGUUUAAUACUGAUCAAUAACUUAAUUAAUAAUCACACAAUAUAUUAAUGAAAUAAUUAAUAUAGAGAAGGAAGGAUAUGAUCAGGGCGGCGGCAUUCACUUCAUCCUCUCCUUCAAUAUAUAUAUAUAUAUAUAUAUAUAUAUAUAUAUAUAUAUAUAUAUAUAGCCUCCCCAUAACUGGAUCGUUUCUAGACCACAGACUGCACUACUUUAUUCACAA
ensembl:lncRNA